UAAAAAUAAAUAAUAAAACUAAAUAAACUAAGCAGGUUACAGGUCUGUCCCUCAUCAUGUGAAGACAGAUAUAUUGUAUUGUAUUUCAGUGCAAUGUUCCCAGCUUCUUCACAAGGCAAAUAAUGAGCAUUGUCAUGUACUCCAUUGUUCCCUGAUAAAAGCUUUGCCACAUGACUUUGGACAUUGUUUUGAAGUUUGAUUUUAUGUCCAUAACUGUGACUAAACCUUGAGCAGAGAAACAACUGCUCCAGCUGCCUGAAAGCUGCCCGACUGCAUCUCGCUGUAGAGCAGGGCCUGAAGCAUGAAUGAAGAUUCUUUAUUCAGAAGCACCACUUCAGUUUGUCAGCUGCAGACAGGAUCACAGGGAAUUCAUUUUACUGAGAGACUAUACUGUAAAAAGAAAUCACUCACAGUUUGGCUGAUGUCAGUAAUCUUUUCCAGUUUGCUUUAAGUGCACAGAUUUCAAAUUGAGUUUAGCUAAGCAGAAGAAAUUUUCCUCAAAAUGUACAGUUGUAAGUUUGCACAACUCAUUAAAUGAAGUUCAUAAGAAACAAAACUGCCAACCUAUAACACUAACAUUCCUGCCUUUUCCAAAAAUGAAAGAAUUAUAAGUCACUAAUAGCAGCCUCACAGGCUAACUUCAUAUCUGCUCUUGCAUAAAAUGACCUCACAGGCACCAAACUGAAGAACCAAUGCAAAAAGAAAACAAAUAUAUGUGGAACAAUCAUCUUUUUUACCCUUAUUUCAUUCAAUGUAACAUCUUAAGUUGUUUUAUCAAAUGUUAGUUGUAAGCUUUCCAGAAGAAAGCAUCUGCAAUUGGCAAACAAUGGGAAAUGCCUGUGGGCACUUAUUUUUGUAGUUAUUUUGAUGUUAUACACCCCACCAACCAACCGGGAAAUUCUACUUUUGAAUUCUGCAGCAGAUUUAAACUCAGGGCCAUAUUUUCAUUUUCCUCUCUCAUAACAUCUCUGAUUCAGGUUAUCUCAGCCAAAUUUAUGAAGACACAAAUCAAAGAUGACUUUUUGCUAAUGAAGCAAACUCAGCGGAGCUGCCAUCACACCAACUAUUUAAAUUAAAACAGAAGUAGCAGCAGAUCAAUUAAACACUAAGAACAUCAGGGGUUGAUGCAAUUUGAUGCUUGUCCACAGAUUAGAUGCAGAGGCCCUUUUUGCUCGUAUCAAUUGCUUAUCACAGAAUCACAGCUCGGCUCAUAGAGUGUGAUGAAAUGAGGGAGACUUGUAACACAGGAAGUGAUCAUUUAUUUACAAAACAUAAUUAAAUGAAGAGAACAUGUUUGUCAGUGGGUCAUUAGAGUAAAGCACGCAUGGAAGUGUGGGAGUGUGCAGAGAGCAAAGGAAAUCCGAGAAAUCACGUUGCAGCCAAGCUGGUCCGAGCCAAAAUGCUGGUGUCGGCUCCUCAGCGAGCCCCUGCAGAACAACAACCCAGUGCCUAAGGGGUCAUCACAACUUUAUACAAAUUUGAAUUUAGUUGUGACAAUCCUGCAGUUGUAUGCAACAUGGGAAAGAUUCUUUAUUUAACAUCUCCACUUUGAAACGUAUUACUGUAAAACUGCUGCAUGACCUAGUUAAAUCAGAAGUCCCUUUUUAAAGACAAAACAGAGGCUUCUGGCACAACUUCACCUACUAUCCAAACUGCAUGGAGACGAACAAGGUCUGAAGAGGUCGAAGCUCCAAUAACACAUGUAGUAUAAAGAGUACUGUUCUUUAUACUACAAGUGUCGUUGGAGCUUUGACCUUUGACCUCAGAUGUUUAAGCUUUGUUGUGCAAAAUGAUGCAUGUGCAGAAUAUGACCCAGCAAUUCAUCUGAAAAGAGAAAGUUUCACUGUGCUCACCUUACAUUUAAGUUCAACAACUGGAUAGGAAAGAAGGUGGUCCAAUGUAAAAGUGCUGUGUGGAAACUUCUUUAAAAACACAUAAAAAUCACACUGUUCACUCAAUAUUACUCAAAGUAGAGUAUUUAUUUUAGCCUUAAGACAUGUCUGCACCCCAGAAUCAGCACUUAACUUAUUUUAAGCCUUACCUUAACCUUAAACAAUGUCUUUACCCUAAAAUCUAAUGAUUUACAAUAAUCGACUGGCUUUUUUUGUCUCCAAAAGGAAGCAGGGUCGCGUCAGUGUGACUGCAUAAACAAAAACCUGUUUGUAUAAACAGAUUUAUGUCCACACGACAUGUAAAAUGAGUCAGAACACACAGAAGCACAAACAUACUGUGUGUGGCAGUGGAUUGUUGGGAAAGAGUCCCUCCAGUGUGUGGCUGCAACAACAUGCGACAGCUGGAAACUCUGAUUUUGUUUUCGCUCUACGGAUGAAUUUGUUGGGAGUAUUAAAGGUUUGUGAUCUUCCCCUCACCUCACCAAUGAAAUGAAUUAAAGCUGCAGCACAUAGCCUCUCUGGAUGUUGCUCUGAUGUAAGUUCUUUUUCGAUUUGAUGCUCAUCAACCGUUACCUGUAGCGCUUGUAAUGCUCAAGUCAGUGCAGCUGAGCCUCUGAACUGGCUCAGUGCUGCACUGCGGGCGACAGUGCCUCCAUUUAGGCUCGAGAGAGGGAAGGAUGCACAAUGGAGAGGAUAGAGGAGAGAAUGAAGGGACACUUUGUGCUCGGUGAAGAGGACGAUCUCCUCUAAGACUCACUAACCCAAGAUCCGGAGUCUCCCAAAGCUUGGGCACUUCCGCUCUUUCGGAAAAGACGUGUCUCCACUAGCGAUAGCUGUCUUGUGUGAAUGCUUUUGAAAUGGCAUCUCAGGAGAGACAGAGAAGAGGGACACAUCCGAUUUGCCACUUUAAGUCUUACAUCUGCAGCUUACUCUAUUGUAAACUCUGUUGUCUUCAAUGCAGUACUGCUUCAUUGUCAUACAUGCUCUUAGAGAAAGUAACUUUUCACAUCGUGUGUCUGCUUCCUUAAAAAUAAACUGCAGGAGAGUAUGUAAAGCAGACAGGCCUCAGGUGGAGCUUGCAGGUCUUGCACAGGGCACUGAAUGCAGAGAGAUGCUUUUGAAUGACAGGAUAUCCCAGUGCAGGAACUCCUACCUUGCCUACCCUCCUUUUAGUCUUCCUGCUCGGGCUGCUGACUCCUAUCCUGUCCAUGGGGUCUGUUAAUCUCUCGGGACAGUACAGGGAGGAGAUCUGGAAUACCGGGUGGCAGGAAGCUGAGGGUCUUCCAAGACUCUCCAGGGGUCAGCAUCUCAUCCUACCACACUAUUGCAAGACCAGGCUCAAGGUCUGGUUUACUGGCGGGGCCGCUAAGUUGCUAUUGUUAGGCUCAAGGAGAAAUGUGUGCACACUUCCUUUGACUAUUUUCUGCUUGACCUGAAUUAUUGGGUUCUGAUUUAUGACACUUGGACACGUGUUUGUAGCACACAGAGUGCCUGAUUUUUAAAGCAACACAAUAGCUGUUUGUCACCCAUUUAUAUGACAUUGAAUCAGUUGAAAAUCUUCUUACUUUGCCAUUAAGGAAGCAAUUUGAAUUUACUUGAUAAAGAGUUGACCCAGUCUGCUGAUGGACUGGGGUUGCAUAUUUCCACAGGGUUGUGUUUUCUCUGCAUUUAAAGGUCACCUCUAAGGUCAAUGAUGGUAGGAAAGAAAGAAAGGAAGAAAUAAAAAACUGUGUAGUGAAUAUUUGAACUAUCGUGAAAAAAAAGGUUUAUAAUAAUUAUAAACUGUACACGUGGACACUAUAUAAGAUACACCUUGCUCAUAACAGCUUGGAGCCCUUUUUAGUAACAAAACUGCUUUAAUUCUUCAUGGCACAGAUUCGACAAGGUGAUGGAAACAUACCCUGAUAGAUUUUGGUCCACACUGACGUGACAGGAUCACACAGUUCCUGCAAAUUUGUCUGCUGCACAUCCAUGAUGGGAAUCUCCAGUUCAAUAUCAUUCCAGAGGUUCUCAUUUGGAUUGAGAUCUGGUGACUGUGGAGGACAUGUGGAACAUCUCAGUCUUCAGUCGGCUCCGUCUCUCAGCACAGUGGCAGCAGUGGCGCCAGGGCACAGACCUUUAGACACAACUACUGUAUCACUCAACAAUCUUCCUCCACUGAUCCCUUCCUCCACCACUCCACCAUGCUUCGCCUGUCCUCUCCUUAGUCAUCCCCCUCUUCCUCUGAUUAUGAAGAUGAGGAUAUAUUCCCAUCUCCCGUCCUUUCACCAACAUCAUUUACUGUUACAGAGCUGUUUGUUGUUGCCAAUUAUUGUGAUGUGUUGUUAGCUUGCGGUACUGGGUAAUCACAGUGAUGUGACUGCAUUUGUGUUGCCUCCACAUUGUGAGCCUUGAUUGUCCAUCCAGCUCUUUGUUUUUUUUUGGUCUGAGUUCAUUGGGCAGAACAGGAAAACAGCAAAGCAAAGUGAAUCAAAGCAAGCUUCCUUCUUGUACUCUGGUGGGACAGAAGUCUGUUUUUAGCUGUUUGUUGACAGAAAUGUGAACAUAUAGUUGAAUAAAACACCAGACCUCGAUAAUCAGCCCGCCACCCACUCACUUUUCCCAAAAAUAAAACCCUUGUUAUGCUUUGUAGAGGAGUUUUGGGAAGAUGAAAUUUUUUUUUAAAAAAAGUCUCCUUUAAAACACAUCAAGACAGAAUCUGUGAAUCUUGUGUGAUGCAUGCAUUUCUUGAGACCACAAAAAAAGUAUUUUUUCCUUCUAUUUUUAUUCUUGAAGGUUGGAUACUGAGUAACUCCAUGCAGACCAUCGACUGCUUCACUUAAUCACAUCAGAGCCUGUUUCCACAAUGUCCAGCUCUUGUUUUUCCUCUUUAAUUGGCCACCUGUGUGUGCCGUACUGUUUGUUGUUGUAGUCCACUCUCAUGUGUGGCCUUGUGCUGUAAACCACAUGCCAUGAAUGCACAAAGAUGCUCCUUGUGUUUUGCCUUUUCUUCAAGCACUUUAAGGCAUUUCACUCUUAAUCCCAGCCCUUCGCUCAGCUGUCAUCCGCCACAAAGACAUAAACACACGCUACGGUGGAAGUGUGUCUGCAGGGCUGCAGAACGCCUCUCUGAUCUUUUAUCGCAGCCUCGUGUGUUUGCGUGUUUAUGGACCUCUUUCAGUGAUACUUAUAGCGCUAGAGGAGCAUGAGGUGUGUGUUCUCUCUGUUUAGGUGUGUGUGAGAGUUGGUGGGGGUCUGACAGUUGUUUGAUGUGUGUGUUAAGUUGUCAGACCACAUGCACACCAGCACCCCCGCCUUCCCCCACUUUACCAAGGCAACUGUCUCCGCAAAGGCUUUAUUUGUGUUCUGACGAACUCUGAGUCAGACUCGUGUGGAAAAGUCAUGAUAUUGCCCGUCUGAUACAAACACCCGAGAGCAGUUUCACAGCCCUGAUGAUAAAAUCACCCCUGAGGAGAUACUGAUCAGCACCGGUGAUAUUAGCAAUUCAAUUACAGCCUGAUAUCCACUUUUAAUUAUGAGAAACUCAUUAAAGCUAACACUUGAGUCGCUCCUGGAGAGCGAGACCAUUUGGGUGUCAUUCUGGUCUUUUAAGCAGAGACGCUGGGGUGAUUGACACCAAGUUGUUACCAACAGGGUGGAAGUUUAUGCAUAAAUAUUUCCGCAGAGACUACAGAGCUUUACAGCUUUACAUUUGUUUGGCUGAACCAGUGUUGAGCUCAUCUUUUAAGAAGUGAUUACCUUGCAUAGACUUGUGGCAGCUGGUGCCCAGUCGCCCUGCCAGACUGUGGGUGGGGAAAAAAGUUUUCCUCUGUAGCUUUUCUCUUGCAGAUGAUACAGAGUAAAACGAUCAAACUUUUUUAUUUUGGAUGUCUCACUUGAGUCUUGCAUAGCUCUACUUUAAGUUAUUGUUAUAUUUUUAUUUUUUUAAAAAGAGCAGCAGUUAACAUUGCUGCUUCAAAGCAGAAGGAUCCUGGUUUUGAACAUCCUGGUUGUUCCCCCAACUCUCUCUGUGACAUUUGCAUGUUCUCCCUUGAGGUAGUCAAGCUUCCCCCCACAGCAGAAAAACAUGCAUGUUGAGGUAUUCUUGUGAUUGUAAAUUUGCCAUAGGUGUGGAUGUUAGGGAGUGUGGUUGUCUCUCUAUGUUAUCCCUGCAAUGAACUGAUGGCCUCUCCAGUGUGUAACUUAGACUCCAGCCAUGCCUCCCGAAUUUAAUAACUGGGUGAUGGAUUAUUAUUUUUAUUAUUAACAGAAACAAAUCAUUGUUGAUUCCAGACUCUUUGUGGGAUUUGUUGACAAAAUGCAAACUGUAUUACUGGAACAGAUGAUAUCCUCAGUGACACAUUUGGUCCAGAUACAGCAGGAUGGCACAGAAGCUAUGAGUACUGAAUACAUAGAUUUUCUUAUCUUCUAUUUGUCCUCCUCACAUUUAGCACUGUUUCAGUUGUUUUUCGUUUUCACUGGCAUAAUGAAUACAUGACGUAUAGUACUUGGAGAACAAUUAUAUUAAAUAAAAGGUCACAAAAGAUCAGGGAAUAGCCAUGCUGCAGCACCCGAGCUGUGUAAAUACUAAUACUGCGCUUUCUUGUUUCCUUGCAGCACACGUGCAAGAGGUCAGAGGAUUUUUUUCUUUGUGCACUUUUGACCUGCGUGUCAUUCAGAUAUCAAGAAGAACAGCAGCUAAUCUCAACAACAGGUCAACCCACUGCAGACUUGUUAGUGUUUUCUGUUUGUAGGUCAUCUGGCCGGGACAGUCUGUUGAUAGAAAUCUUCCUGCUUUCCAAAGUGUUGCUGUCUUCUGAGCCAAGAUAGAAAUAUUUAUCAAAUACAAAUCCGAGGACAAGACAGGAAAAUCCUGAAUAUUUUUUUGUUUUUAUAAAUAACUCAGACUUGCACUCUGGAUCGCUCAUGAAAAUAGAAUAUUUACAGAGAGCGUCUCCUCGUCUCUCAAGCUGAGAAGAGUUUUGAUCAUAAACAAAACGUGAUGAGCUAAUUGGUGAUUUAUAGAAGCACUGUUGCAAGGCAACAGCGCCUUGUUUACAGCCACAGAGCGCUGUAUCAGUGCAUUUUCAUUUCCUGUCUGCCGCAGGAUAAUGACCUAUAAGGAGGUUUGUUUGUUUGGUGAUGGUAGGAAACAGAUACAGCAUAUAAUAGUGAGAGAUGUACAGUAACUCGUACCGCCCUUGUUUACAAAGACACAGAAGUAUGAGAUGUGACUGUGUCGUCUUCAGGUCACAGCCUUGGUGAGCAAACCUGCUUUGCUCAGAGUAUUUAUUUACUUAUUUAAUAGAGCUGACUCUGUUUAGAAGACGUGAACGUGACGAUGUUUACUACUCACUAUUGGUUUGAGUGUUGAAGUCUUUUGAAGCUGCAGACUGGAGUUGUAUUAUGCAUGCUGCAGGAUUUAGCCUGCUCAGUUUGUUGCUAAUAUGGGGGGAUGGGUGAGGACAUGGGGACGGGACCCUCUGAAAGUUUUUAAGGCAUCAGGUAGAUAGGAAUUACAGAUUACAACUGCAGUUACUGACUAUGCAAAGCUCAAAUAGUAACAUUACAGGAGUGAUGAAAGAUGAAGUAACUGAUAUUAGUUAGCAGCAGGUGCAAGCUGUAUGUAUACAACAAGAAGGUCUAUAUAAAACUGAACAAAUAACUGAAAAACACUAGCUGUAGUCCAUCUAUGAGGUGCAAUGUACAGAAGUUUUCAUGCAAUCAUCAUCGGCACGAAUGUUAAUGUGAAUGGUAAUUUUAGGGUUUUUAUUAAUUUCUUGUAACUGUUCUUUUUUCCAGAGUAGAAUGAUUCUAUAGCACACAUCUUUCAUCUGCACAGGCUCAAAUAUAUACAUACGGCCCCAGAGCAUGAUGGUACCACCACCAUGCUUAACAGUUGCUCGACUGCUCUUAAGUUUGAACGCCUCACCUUUACUCCUAUAAAGAUACCUCUUGUCAUUGUGAACAAAAACUCUUUGUCUCACCAAUCUUACUUAAAGUACUUAAAAGAGUACUUAAAAAUUCUCAAAGGUGUUUCUUAUCAACAUCACCCAAGAUUGCUCAUUUUGGCUCUACCAUUGUGGUCUCAGUGAAUUAAAACAAUAGCUAAUGGGCUUGCCUUCUGGACAUAGGCUGUAUUAGACAUGUCAAAUACCUUUAAACCACCCGUCUUCCACUUGUGUUGGGCAGAAAAAGAAAAACAUAGUGGAUUUACUGAUAGCAGACUAAGUGGCAACUGAAUCUGUAGCUGUGUCAUUAACUGGCAGUUAUGCAUGUGAAUGUUAUGUGUUGAGGGAGAGGAUGCAUGCAGAUUUGACGAUCCAAACCGUUUGGGAACAAUAGAGAUAGGACCAGUGGUUCCCUGCAGUAAAACCCACAGUUACACAUCCUUCUUCCUGCAGGGAUCAUCCAGCAGGCAGGAAAACUUUAUCGUCUGCAUUCCUUCGCCUUAUUUUUCUUCUUCUUCUUCUCGAUGGAAGACCAAUGUUAUCCACAAGAUCACUAGGUAGCCUAACAACUGUGUGAACUAUUCCAAAUGAACCUCAAGGGUUUAGUAAGUGUUUGAGUCUUUUAUCCCUCACAUGUAACAUGAACAUUUUUAUAGAUUUUUAUGGCUGUCCAAACUUCACAGAGUUUUUGAAACACAAGCCUCUGGUUUAGUUUCAAGGUUGAGAAAUGGACACACACACACAUCCACAAAAUCCUGCAUGUUCAUAAAAUUACACCCAUGCUGCACUGGAUGCAAUACAAUAAGCUAUUGUAACCUCAAACCAGAGGUCUUGAUGGACAUGUGCUUUUGCCAUUAGUUCAAAAUUAUAAAAGGCUAUGAGGUCACUUGCUGGCGUGUGUUAACACGUACAUCCCUUGCUCUCUCUCUCUCUCUCUCGGUCUCUCGAGUGGACACACUUAUACUCACACAAAGCAAAUAUUAAGACAAGAAUAUAGGCUCUCUUAGUGCCUGUUAUUAGUUUUUUUUUUUUACUGUUAUUGAGAAUUUCAGUAUUUGAAGGAUGCUCCCAUUAGUUCCCUACCACUGUAUCCUAUGUGCACUAUGCACUUACUUGUGUAGCAUGAAUUUCUACAGAUUAGUGUGGCCCCAAAACAUUGCGAGAGGAAUGAUAAUCACAGCAUUUAACUGUCUGACACUUUUAUACACAUAAAAUGAAAAUGUAAACUCAAUGCUCCUUCGCUAACUACUGGUUGAUGAUGUAUCCUCCUCUUAUGCUGUGGUCAGAUUGUCCACUUGUUCACUCACUCAUCCACUAGUGUUUGCUACAUAGUGGGGAACACGUGCAGACAGCUGUUUAUAGAUUUCAGACCCUACUUGGACGUACUAAAGUUGCAUAAUUAUCCACCUGAUAUUUCUAAUUAUUUCUGUUUCUGAAACACUGACAGACGAUCUGCACCACAUUUGAAGCUACAGACGCCUGAAGAUUAUUUUUGAAAACGUACAUGUUGUAAGCGACUUAUAUCUCUCCACAUUUAUAUAAAAAUAAUAACAUAUAUAUGUGCACAGACGCUUGUUACAAUAUAAUUGAAAAUAAAGAUGGUAACUGCUUGGGGUUGCUACUUUUUUUAGGCAAUGUCUUACAUAUUACUUGUCAUUUUAAAAAAGUGUGUUACGUAAAGCAUUACAUUACUUAUUAGCUUAUUAGCUUCCUUUAGUACAGUACUGUGCAAAACUCUUGAUGAUGUGCUUUUGUGACAGCCUGUGAGUGCAGAAAGUAGUGAACUUAAAAUAAAAAAGAACAAAGAAAUCCUCUGAAACUGGUCAAGUACAAGGACUGGACUGAAAAUGGGUGAAAAUGCAACCAAUGUCCAACGGAAAACACAUCACAUAAUUAAGAGUUAACAGUAUAAAUGUUGGGCUACAGUCCCUCAUACUGGCCACAAUCUCUGUGAGGACACAUAGAACACCUAUUAUUUGAUUUUUAAGGAUUAACUCAAAGCUGUUUUAAAGUUUUAAAACAACCCAAAGAACACUUCACAGAGAGUGCUGUAGCCGCUGUAGCUGCUGCUCUACUACAGAAGAAGGUACUAAUAGAAAUGAAGGGUUCAACCGCACAAGUCUGACUCCUUGGCUGUUUAACGUAACUCUGGGUUAGCUAGGGUUGUUAGCUUUGUAUUAGCAUGCUGUUUUUGUAGAAGCUUGUACUGCUGUGUUACUUUCUGGGAGGUCGCUAAUUGCAUAUAAAAACUGUGUACAAGUACAGCUACAACAAGUAUACUGCACUGAAGCUGAGCCAGAAUACUGCUUUGUGUCUAAAAAUAAGAUCCAUCUAUUCAUGCAGUUAUUUAAAAAUAUUAUAACUGCUUAUCCA